rnacentral:lncRNA from 1 species
GAGUUGCUGACACUGGAGGACGUGGCCGUGAAGUUCACCUGGGAGGAGUGGCACCUCCUGGGCCCUGCUCAGAAGGACCUGUACCGGGACGUGAUGUUGGAGAACUGCAGGAACCUGGUGUCAGUGGGUGAGGAAGGCUGCCCUGUGCAGCUCAGAGGGUGCCAGUCUGUGGCCUUUUCUUUCUCAGUGUCUGAAAGCCUUGGAGGUCCUGUGGUGUUUCAAGGGUGGCCUCUCAGUCCUUCUCAGGCCCCAGAUAAGAGGGUGUAUUAUGCUCCCUUCGGAGAGCAAAGCCUUUGCUUUGCAGAUAUAAACUACGUAGUUCCUAAAAUAGAACAUUGUUGUUGACAAAUCACAGCCCAGUUUGAUGAACCUAAGACUAUCAUUUCCCAUGAACAGGGUGUCAAGCCAGCAAGCCCGAUGCCCUCUCCAAGUUGCUAGGAGGAGAACCGUGGACAGUGGAAGAUGAAAUCCAUGGUCAAAUUUGUUCAGGUGAGUGAGUGAAACCUGCAAGGAGGGUGGACCAGGAAGUCCUAGUCUACUUGUCAGAGAAGUCGCAGAUGUGAGAGGGCCUGAGGAUGUGUAAACAGCCUUCACAAACCCUGCUCCCCACACGGAGCCAUGUAUUUCAAAGUUCCUCUUUGUCUCUUCUUGGAUUUGAUCACUGUUUCCCUCUAGUCUUGUUUUUAGGAUUCUCAGCUCUUGCCAUUCUUUCCCCACCAGCAUACCACUACCUGUUUCUUCUGUCUCUGUUACUUUGAAAUAGCCUACCUUCCAUGCCUUUCUCAAGGAGAGGUCUUUGGUUUCAAAGCUGUCCUCCUAGAGCCCUUUUGCCCCUGUGUAGGAUGUUGCUUUCCCUUCCUAUUAUCCACCCCAUCUGGGGUUCUGUGCCCCCUGGUAACCUGGUCUGUCCCUCUGCACCUGUCUGCCUCUUAAGCUUCUCUUUGCCCAUUUUGAGGUCCAGCAAAGGUUUUGUUUCCCACAUUUCACUCUGUUCUUGACCCUGUAAAAGUUCCCAUCAUUCCAUUGACCUCUAUUUUCUGUGGAGAUUGUCAUGUCAGUAUGUCCCUCUGUUCUUCUAAGCUAAGUGCUGAUACUGAGUAUUUACCUUUCCACUGCAGCUCCUUGAGUCUGUGCUGGCCACUGUGGAGGGGCCUUGAAACUCUUCUACCUCUUCGGCUCCCUUUUAUUUUCCCUGAGUCCAAACCUCAUCAUUGAGCCUUAUGGCUGCUGUGCUUUAAUUUCCUUGUGUGGUUGUUAAUUCUGCAUUCUGCUCAUUGUUUGGGAUUUUUCCCUGAAAGCUUUCCUUUUCUUACCAUUUAUCCAAUGGAAUUAAGUCCCAGUUAAUCAUCGUGGUCAUUCACAUGAGGUGGAAAUUUCUCUCAAAUGGUGUUCUCGAUGGAUCUCCAUGAUUGGUAUCAUCUUGCUUAUUAAACUUUUUUUCCUCUUUCUUCUCCUAAACUCAAGGUCAUCUGCCUUUAAAAUAAUUUCCGCAAAGUGCUUUAUACAUAUAAAUCUUUAUUUCAUUGCUUUAAAUACUUUUUGAUUACUUUAAGUAGUUUUUUUUAAGCAUUCUUCUUUUUAUUUAAUCUUUUAUGUAUUUAUUUUUUUGUGGUACUGAGUAUCAAACCCAGUGCCUCACACAUGCUAGGCAAGCACUCUACCACUGAGCCACAACCCCAGCCUUCACAUUAAGUAGUUUUGAUAGUUUAUUACAUGUUGAUCUUGAUAGCUGUAAACAACAAUAACAACAAGAAUUUUUCUUGGGAUUAGAUUCUGAAAGGAGGCAAAGUUAAUAAAAAAUACCUUGUGGGCUGGGAUUGUGGCUCAGUGGCAGAGCGCUUGCCCAGCAUGUGCAAGGCCCUGGGUCCUAUCCUCAGCACCACAUAAAAAUAAAUAUAUAAAAGAAAGGUAUUGUUUUCAUCUACAACCAAAAAAUCGUAAAUAAAAAAAAAUACCUAGUUAUGAAAAUUGCUGGGAAGAAUAGUAAAAUACCAUAAUAGAAUAGUGUGUGAGGGGGACUAGAGCUGCUCUUUAGGAUAGGAAGGGCCCUUGAGUGGAUCGUUUAGGUGAAUUAUCUUUCACAUAGACAUGGUCACAAGUUCAGGGGCCCAGGGUAGGUGUAUGUUUGAGAAAUUAGAUCUGCUUUGGACUUGAUAAUUAGAUGUGCUUGCCCAUAUUCAUGAAGUACUCUCUGGUUGGAUGUCCCAAGUCACGAGAGAUUAGGUGAGAGAAAUAUGGCAUGAGUAAUGUCUUCUGUAAAGGGGGUACAGAUGAAGAACUUGGACAACUCACAAUCAGAAAGAUGAGUUUUUAUUAACUGAACGGUUUCCUAUGGUGUGUAUCUUCAUUAUUUCUGUCUGUUUUUCAUAGUACUGGAGAUUGAAUUCCCUGAGCUACAUCUACAGCCCUUUUAGUUUUAUUUUGGGAUGGGGUCUUGCCAAGUUUCCCAGGCUGGUCUUAAACUUGUGAUGCUCUUGCCUUAUCUUCCCAUUCUGAGUCUAUUUGGUAGAUUUGGGGUGAUAGUCUUGGCUUGUCUAUAUAUGGUGCUGUAAGUUGGCUCUCUUGAGCCUGGUUGUUAAAUCACAGCCCUACUGUGUGCUAGAAGAGAUGGAAGUUACUGAGAAACAACAGUGCGUUCCAAGAAUCAGAUUUUAAUAGAGGAGAGACCUAGUUGUAAUAAAUACAUGGAAGUUCAGCUUUUGAACCGGAGGCAUCUUCUCCUGCAGUACAGGGCUGUGUGAAAUUGACUCUCAAAAUAAGCAAUAAAGAUAGGGAAUGCCAUGUACAACCAGAAAAAUGAAAAGUUGUGAUCUGUUUGUGUAAAAAAUAAAAUAAAAUUUAUUUUUUUAAAAAAAGGGAAUGCUUUAGAAAUUUAUGGAAGACAUCUUGUGUUCACCUAGAACGGGAAUGAGAGCAUGAUAUGUAGGAGAUGUAUCUAGGGUUUGAAUAAAGGAUAUGAUGAAGGGCAAGGAGUGAAGGUCAGUAGAUAUGUCAAUUAGGUGGAUCCUGGCGAUCAUUUUACACCAUGUACGUGCAUCCAAACAUCAGAUUGUGUGCCUUGUAUAUAUACAAUUUUUCUAUGUCACUGGUAUUUUACUGACACUAUUAAAAUUUAAAAGAAUGAAGGUGUGAAAUUGGAAAUGUACAAGGCCUUGUGAGGAACUGUUAAAAGAUUGGCCUGAACCGGCCCCAUGAAGGUCAGAAGGUGUUUGUAGGGGAGUUAAGUGAGUGUGAACCUGGGUAUAAGUUAGUUUCAGAUUUAUAGUCUUCCUUUUUUUGGUGCUGAGGAUUGAACUUAGGGCCUCAUGCACGCUAAGCAUGCACUCUACCACUGAGCUACACCCCUAGUCCUGGAGUCUUACUUUUAAACUGGGUGGCAGGAGUGUAACAAUAAAGUACAUCCAGUAUUUCCUAGAAAAAAUAGAAGGCAAAACUGAUAGAAGCCUUGGUCUGGGGUCCCAGCUGUGAUCCUUUAGGACCCCUUCAAUUAUGGCCACUAAGCCAUUUAUAUAGAAGUUUGAAAGGCAGUGCUGAGAGUGCCAGGAAGGGGGUUUGGGCUGGCCAUGGCAGCAGCUCAAGAGGCUGAGGCGGGGGGACUGCAAGUUGAAGGGAGUCUCAGCAACUUAGCAAAACCCUGUCUUUAAAUCAAAAAUUAAAAAGACUGGGGAUUUAGAGAACCUUGGAUUCAAUCCCCAGUAAACCGCCCCCCCCCCCCCCCAAAAAAAAAAGAAAUAUGAGUUUGGGGAUCAUUACAUCAGAGACAGAGACAUGAAGUAAGAACUCCACCAUGCGACCAGCACACUGGUUUCAUUAAAGAGGUUCUUGGCAUAAAAGUUAGCUAGUGAGAUCAAAUAAACACACAGACUCAGUUACCUUUUUCUAUGACCAGGUCUGAGAUGGCUCUCCCUCUGGCUCACACCUUGAACCACCCGGUAGGGCAGCAGGGAUUACUCAGGGCUAGCAGGAGAGAGAGAGAGAGAGCACGCCAGGGAGUGGCCUUUUAUUGGGGAACAAGAAAUUCAGGGGAGAAUUCCAUCCAAUGAAGGUGGAGGGGGGCAGCACUCCAAGGUCAGGGUCAGUGAUUGGCCCCCGGGUCAGUGGUCAAGUCACACCCCCACACGGACAGGCUCUCGCACCAGGAGAGGGUCGGGAAAGCUCCGACACAGUUUAGCCAGAGCGCCUCACACCCAAACCGGGAGUUGCCCAGUCACAUGUGAGAAUGGCUCCCCACAAGAACAGUUUGAUUCCGUCAGUACAAGCACAGGGUGUGAUCAGAAAAGGUGACCAUUCCCUGCCUAGUUCAGCAGCAUGUCACUUGACCAUGUGAUCCGAGUUCCAUGGGCAUCACUGUUUUUUUCUCUUUUUCAGUUGAUACAAGAGAUUGUGUUAAGCCAUCUAAAAAGCUGACAUGUUUACUGCAGAAGUUUGCUUUUUAAAUGUAAAAUUGAUGCUUUGGGAAAUUUGGUUUGAUGAUAGUCUAUGAAUGAAGUAUUAGAAAAAUAAAAUGACUACCCAAGAGUCUUCCCAGUUUUCUAGAAGUUGAGUGUUGAGUUUAUGACAUUCUCACUUAGGUCUAACAGUUCCAGUAUACCUCUACUUAUUUUCCAGAAGAGUCAGUGUUUGGAACCUCUCAGUGAGCUUUCCAAAACCCAAACUCUAAAUAUUACAGCAAUUGUAAACUUGGCCCUGUGCCUUCAUCUUGUUUUCAUCUACAUGUUUUUUCCAAACCUGAUCUCACCCAGUCCUCUUUCCUUAAUAUUUACAUACUGUUGAUUCCCACAUAAUUUCCAACCAUGACCUUUCUUGAUUUAUAUAUGCAAUCAGAUUUUUUUUUCUGUAUUUCUAAAACCUUCUCAAGGAUGAUGUGUUCUCUAAAGUGCACAUUUGAUUUCCCCCAUAUUUAAAACUCAGUGUUAUUCCUCUUUUCAUGAAAACAGUGCUACUCCAGUAGGAAUAAUCCUUAAUUCCUUAAGUUUAUUAAUCUCCCAUGUUGAAAUCAUGAGUGAGCCUUGUCUUUUCUUUCUGCAGAUUGUAUCUUGAUUUUCUCCACUUCCCUCUCCAAUUUUUAUAAUUUGUACCUGCUUUCUAUGUUUCAUUGCUUCCUUGUUUAAUUUUCCCUAACUAGAAUUUAUACUCAGAGAAUAUAAGGAAUAUAUUACUGUAUCAACAUCACUAGCGCAAUUCUUAACACACAGUCAUAAUUUAAUGAGGAUUUGUGGGUAUGUGAAUUUGCCCCUCAUUAGUUUGAAACAAAUAUUCCUCUAACUUCUGUGAUCCAGUGCUCACAGUGGCUUAAUUUUAUUUUAGCUUGCCUUUUUGUCACAUUUAUUCAUUUUGAAUGAUGUAACCUUGCUUAUUCUCUGACCAUUUUUACCUUGUUUUGUUUAAACUGUUGUGUUUUAUCCCUGUCCAAGUGACAAUGAACAUAUCCACUUGGAGUUUCUUUAACUUUACAUAAUAAUGCUGUCAGCAAAGAACCAAUCUAUACAAAGCUGUUUGUGGAGUGGUUUUAUUCUGUUACAUGCUCAUAGAAUGAUUAAUAAAUCAUUAUAUAUCAUAAUAAAUCAUGUUCUCCUCUUCCCUAGAAAUCAAGAAAGCUGAUGAUCAUCUACUGAUACAAUUAGGAAAUCAAAGAUGUCAGAAGAAAGUGGAACAGUGCCAUAAAUACAGUGCAUCCAGAAACAUCAUUCAUCAUAGAACAAAUAACUUUCCUUUAAGGCAAAAUCAUGAUAUACUUGACUUUCACAGGAAAAGAUUGAAAUCAAAUUUAAGUUUAGUCAACCAUAACAGAAGCUGUGAAGUAGAGAACACUGUCAAGGCUAAUGGAGUUGGAAAAUCAUUCCUUCAUGCCAGGCAUGAACAAUUUCCUACUGAAAUUAAAUUUCCUGAAUAUGGAAAUUCUGUGAAUACAAAUUCACAUCAGAGAUCCCAAAAGGCAGAGAAGCCCCAUGUAUGCAUCGAAUGUGGGAAGGCCUUCCUCAAGAAGUCUCGUCUCAUAGAUCACCAGAGAGUGCAUACAGGAGAGAAACCUCAUGGGUGCAGUGUGUGUGGGAAAGCCUUCUCCAGAAAGUCCCGGCUCACUGAACAUCAGAAAACUCACAGAGGAGAGAGACGGUAUGAAUGCAACGAGUGUGACAAAGCAUUCCGCUGGAAAUUACAGUUUAUUGCACAUCACAAAAUUCACACAGGAGAGAAACCUUAUGUAUGUAGUGACUGUGGAAAAGGCUUCAUCAAGAAGUCUCGUCUCAUUAAUCAUCAGCGAGUUCAUACAGGAGAAAAACCUCAUGCAUGUAGCCUGUGUGAGAAGGCGUUCUCCAGAAAAUUCAGACUCAUUGAACAUCAGAGAACUCACACAGGAGAGAAGCCCUACGAA